GCAUAUCAAUAAGCGGAGGAAAAGAAACCAACCGGGAUUGCCUCAGUAACGGCGAGUGAAGCGGCAAAAGCUCAAAUUUGAAAUCUGGCAGCAAUGUCCGAGUUGUAAUUUGAAGAGGGUGUUUUGGAGGCGGGUCUUGUCUAUGUCUGUUGGAACACAGCGUCACAGAGGGUGAGAAUCCCGUGCGAUGAGAACGCGUCUCCGUGUAAAGUGCCCUCGACGAGUCGAGUUGUUUGGGAAUGCAGCUCUAAGUGGGUGGUAAAUUCCAUCUAAAGCUAAAUAUUGGCGAGAGACCGAUAGCGAACAAGUACAGUGAUGGAAAGAUGAAAAGCACUUUGAAAAGAGAGUGAAAAAGUACGUGAAAUUGUUGAAAGGGAAGGGCUUGAGAUCAGCGUGGAGAGGAUUCAUUCUCUCUGGGCCAGCAUCGGUUUGCGGGGGGAGACACGGGGCACGAGCGGCGCUGUAUGGCGAAGCUCGGGCCAGAUAUCCCCACCACAGACCGAGGACUGCGAGCAAUCAAGGAUGCUGGCAUAAUGAUCUUCAGCCGCCCGUCUUGAAACACGGACCAAGGAGUCUAACGUCUAUGCGAGUGUUUGGGUGUCAAACCCCAGCGCGGAAUGAAAGUAAGAGAUGAGAGCAAUGCGCAUCAUCGACCGAUCCUGAAGUGUUCGGAUGGAUUUGAGUAAGAGCAUAGCUGUUGGGACCCGAAAGAUGGUGAACUAUGCCUGAAUAGGGUGAAGCCAGAGGAAACUCUGGUGGAGGCUCGUAGCGGUUCUGACGUGCAAAUCGAUCGUCGAAUUUGGGUAUAGGGGCGAAAGACUAAUCGAACCAUCUAGUAGCUGGUUCCUGCCGA
rnacentral:rRNA from 1 species